GGAAGUGGCCUCUCCUUGAGGGAAGGAGCCAGAUGACUUCUCAGAGAACAACAACCAUAUUCAAAAUAUUCUCCAGUUUCUUUUGUUUCUUCUUGUCUGCAUCUGAUGUCCAGGACGUUAUUCCACAGGAAAAGGUUAAUAGGAGAUCAAGAUCGGCCAGACACAUUCCAGACAUUGAAGUUAGACGUGGAUCUGUGAUUCGACGUGGCCAAUAGAAAGAGCUGAAGUGAUGAGACUCUUUUCUGGCAGAAGUCUGUUGGAACAAAACUGGGAGUUUCCAAGUGUCUUAAUCCAUGUUCCACUGACUGGCGAUGUUCCAGAUGGAGGAGGCCUCAUCAGCCUGCACCCCUCAGUGAAGAUGAUGAGGGUGUGUCGAACACAGAAUGUCACCAAGAACUGUUUUGUCUGUCAACAAGAGAGAUAGAGGCUGCAGAUGGCUACAGAGAAGAUUCUACAUGGGGAAGGCCCCAAACAUAGCUGGCGACAUCAACUACAAAGGAUGUCUUUUGGGGAGGAAGUUCUGAGGACUGCUUUCUAGUGAGACUUCAAUCUAUGUGGUGUAUGGCUCCCAACAGACUGAUCACCAUGGGUCCUGCAGAACAGAGGAGAUGCUUUUCUGCCAGCUGGAAUGGGUAGCAGG